rnacentral:rRNA from 1 species
AUGGCAGCAGUUCGAUGCCUGGCGAGGACGAGGCUUGGUAGAAGGCUGGCGACGGUCGCGGAGGAGCGACGCCAACUCGUGCCAAGAAGGUUCUUCAGCGAGGAUGCUCAUGAGAUGAAGCAGAAGAUGAGGAAUCAGAAGGUGGAGGAGCUGUAUGAUGCCUUAUACAAGCGGGGGAAGAUUCCCACCACUAGUCCCUCUGUACAAGCCAGUCAAGAACCCGACCCUCUGCGUACAAGGCGUUACGCAAUGAGGAUUCGGGGUGUGUUUGAGUUAGCUGCCAAGAUGACGUUAGGCUUUAUGCUGGUUGCUUAUGCGGUUAGUCCUAAACUGCCCAGAGAAGAGGACACCACCAAUAAUUGCCCACAAUGCGGCUUGAGGACAUCAACGACCAGAGAAGGCACCACCAAUAAUUGA